GCCCUUGGUGUCAUAUCUUAAAAGUCAUCACCAAACUAAGAUCAUCUAGAUUUUCUCCUAUGUUACUUUCUAGGAGUUUUAUAGUUUUGCAUCUUGCAUUUAGGUCUGUGAUUCACUUUGAUUUAAUUUUUCUGAGGAGUGUAAGAUCUGUGUCUAGAUUUACUUUUUUCAUGUAUUCCAGCAACAUUUGUUAAAAAGACUAUCUUUUCUCUCUUGUAUUGCCUUUGGUCCUUUGGCAGGUAUCAGUUGACUAUAUUUAUGUGGGUCUACUUCUGGACUUUCUCUUCUGUUCCACUGGUUUCUUUUGCCAGUACCACACUGACUUGAUACUGCAGCUUUAUAGUAAGUCUUGAUGUCAUGCAGUGUCUAUCCUCCAGCUUGGUUUGUAUCUCUUCAAGAAGAGCAUUGCCUUUCCACAUAAACUGUAGAGUCAAUAUGUACAGAAUAAUUUGCUGGGUUUCAAACUCACAUUUGUAUUCUGUACUUUUCUGUUCCUGAAGGCAUGUGCAUAUUCAAAAUGGGAAGCCCUCUAAUACAUAACUGCUCAUCAAUUGCCAUUCAUAAACCUGAUAUGUAUACAUCAGGUAAAUACUGAUACUAGAUUUCAAAUGCAUUUAAUAGGCUAUUGCUUGUCAUUACUUCUGGUUCUUGCAUUUUGUCAAAAGUGCAAUACUUUUGAAAACCGCUGAUUUUAUUGAAGAAAGGGUGACCAUUUUCCUUUUUCACAUUUAUAAACUCCAAUUAGAAUGAUCGAUCCAAUGAAUUUUUUCAUUUCUACAUCACCUGUUUCCUUCUAUACACAAAUGCCUGCCUUCAGCAUUUAUCUGCCUGUGAACUUUAUCAAGUAAAUUUUGCUGUACGAACAUCAUAAAAGAUGAAAGAAUAUGGUCCCACAUCCUUUUAGGUAAAGGGGAUAGUCCAGGUUCUUGUUGUAACAUAUUACUUAAUGAAGUCCUUCCUGUUUUACUUGCUAGGAAUCCCGCCUUUUCUUUUUGUCCUUGAAAUACAUAUAUUGUAUACUUAUUGCUUCUUAUAUUUGAGAAAAUUCAUCUAAGAUACUGUCAUCUGAAGGUUCGUUAUCUGAAAUUUUACUACUACCUGCCUCUUCACAUUCACCAACUAAUAAUUGUGAAAUAGCUUUCUUUGACAGUUUUCUUCUCUGUGCCAUUAUAGGCAGAAAAUGAAAUAUUCUGAAUUCUCAACUUUACCAGCUUAAAGGUCUUUCAGAAUAUGUGCAAUCAAGUGUUUGCGGUCUCAUGUUUUUUCUAAAAUUUCUUGUGAAUGCCGUAAUUGUAUAUUGUGUACUUAGGCAGUUGUGUAACAUUGAAAUAAAAAUUGAGCAUGAAAAGAAAAAAAAAAAAAACCCAAGAAGAAUACAAAGAUGGUAUCUCCAGACUUCUUUUUGAAAGGUGUGCAAGGCAAUGGCUAAUGUAAUAAGAAAACUGCAGGAUGGCACAGUAGUGUGUCAUCCUUCUAGGCAGUUCCAUUUUUCUUCCGUUCUCUGAUUGUUUUUUAGUGUAGCUGGAAAUAAUUUAUAGGAAAUGAUGAAAUAAAUUUCAAGAUGAUGAACUGGCCAAAGAUUUCAAGAUAAAAAACAAGGAGCUCCUCUUGUGGCUCAGUGGUUAACGAAUCUGACUGGGAACCAUGAGGUUGUGGGUUCAAUCCCUGGCCUUGCGCAGUGGGUUAAUGAUCCGGCGUUGCCGUGAGCUGUGGUGUGGGUCGCAGAUGUGGCUCGGAUCCCGAGUUGCUAUGGCUCUGGCAUAGGCCGGCAGCUACAGCUCCAAUUCAACCCCUAGCCUGGGAACCUCCAUAGGCCGCGGGAGUGGCCCAAG
rnacentral:lncRNA from 1 species